rnacentral:rRNA from 1 species
UAAUCGAAAGAUUAGCUAAUACCGCAUAUUCUCUGAGGAGGAAAGCAGGGGACCUUCGGGCCUUGCGUUAUUCGAGCGGCCGAUAUCUGAUUAGCUAGUUGGUGGGGUAAAGGCCUACCAAGGCGACGAUCAGUAGCGGGUCUGAGAGGAUGAUCCGCCACACUGGGACUGAGACACGGCCCAGACUCCUACGGGAGGCAGCAGUGGGGAAUUUUGGACAAUGGGCGCAAGCCUGAUCCAGCCAUGCCGCGUGUCUGAAGAAGGCCUUCGGGUUGUAAAGGACUUUUGUCAGGGAAGAAAAGGCUGUCGCUAAUACCGACAGCUGAUGACGGUACCUGAAGAAUAAGCACCGGCUAACUACGUGCCAGCACCCGCGGUAAUACGUAGGGUGCGAGCGUUAAUCGGAAUUACUGGGCGUAAAGCGAGCGCAGACGGUUACUUAAGCAGGAUGUGAAAUCCCCGGGCUCAACCUGGGAACUGCGUUCUGAACUGGGUGACUAGAGUGUGUCAGAGGGAGGUAGAAUUCCACGUGUAGCAGUGAAAUGCGUAGAGAUGUGGAGGAAUACCGAUGGCGAAGGCAGCCUCCUGGGAUAACACUGACGUUCAUGCUCGAAAGCGUGGGUAGCAAACAGGAUUAGAUACCCUGGUAGUCCACGCCCUAAACGAUGUCAAUUAGCUGUUGGGCAACUUGAUUGCUUAGUAGCGUAGCUAACGCGUGAAAUUGACCGCCUGGGGAGUACGGUCGCAAGAUUAAAACUCAAAGGAAUUGACGGGGACCCGCACAAGCGGUGGAUGAUGUGGAUUAAUUCGAUGCAACGCGAAGAAACCUUACCUGGUCUUGACAUGUACGGAAUCCUCCAGAGACGGAGGAGUGCCUUCGGGAGCCGUAACACAGGUGCUGCAUGGCUGUCGUCAGCUCGUGUCGUGAGAUGUUGGGUUAAGUCCCGCAACGAGCGCAACCCUUGUCAUUAGUUGCCAUCAUUAAGUUGGGCACUCUAAUGAGACUGCCGGUGACAAGCCGGAGGAAGGUGGGGAUGACGUCAAGUCCUCAUGGCCCUUAUGACCAGGGCUUCACACGUCAUACAAUGGUCGGUACAGAGGGUAGCCAAGCCGCGAGGCGGAGCCAAUCUCACAAAACCGAUCGUAGUCCGGAUUGCACUCUGCAACUCGAGUGCAUGAAGUCGGAAUCGCUAGUAAUCGCAGGUCAGCAUACUGCGGUGAAUACGUUCCCGGGUCUUGUA